rnacentral:rRNA from 1 species
GUAGGGAAUAUUGCACAAUGGAGGAAACUCUGAUGCAGCGACGCCGCGUGAGUGAUGAAGGCCUUCGGGUCGUAAAGCUCUGUCGCAGGGGAAUAACACAAUGAAGGUACCCUGUAAGAAAGGAUCGGCUAACUUCGUGCCAGCAGCCGCGGUAAGACGAGGGAUCCUAGCGUUGUUCGGAAUCAUUGGGCGUAAAGCGGAUGUAGGUGGCUAUGUAAGUCAGAUGUGAAAGCCUGGGGCUCAACCCCAGAAGUGCAUUUGAUACUGCGUAGCUUGAGUGUCGGAGAGGUUACUAGAAUUGUUGGUGUAGUGGUGAAAUACGUAGAUAUCAACAGGAAUACCGGAGGCGAAGGUGGGUAACUGGCCGAACACUGACACUGAGAUCCGAAAGCGUGGGGAUCAAACAGGAUUAGAUACCCUAGUAGUCC